AAUGAACGCUGGCGGCGUGCCUAACACAUGCAAGUCGAGCGAAAACUUCGGGUCUUUGCUCCCCUGAGUUUGUCGCGGGUGGGGUGAUUCCCCUUUGGUCAACCUACCUUUCCGACUGGGAUACUUUCGGCAAACAGGGCCUAAGACCGAAAAAUUUAUCGACCUUCAUUGUUCAUUAGUGAAAGACGGUUUUGUGUACACUAAAAGAUGGAUCCGCGCCGCAUUAGUUAGUUGGUAAGGUAACGGCUUACCAAGGCAACGAUGGGUAGCCGACCUGAGAGGGUGAUCGGCCACACUGGAACUGAGACACGGUCCAGACUCCUACGGGAGGCAGCAGUAGGGAAUCUUCCGCAAUGGGCGAAAGCCUGACGGAGCAACGCCGCGUGAGUGAUGAAGGUCUUCGGAUCGUAAAACGCUGUUAUUAGGGAAGAACAAAUGUGUAAGUAACUAUGCACGUCUUGACGGUACCUAAUCAGAAAGCCACGGCUAACUACGUG
rnacentral:rRNA from 1 species